rnacentral:lncRNA from 1 species
GCUGCUUCUCUUGAUGAUAUCGCUGAUGGAGAAUCAUCUGCCCAUCUUCGUGACAGGUUGGUUGUGGAAGAACGGUAUAGCAUGGCAGUGUAUACCUGCAAAAAGUGUAAGGUAACAGAUUACCUGUCACUCUUUUAUUUUCUAGAACUUGCUAUGUUUCAGUUAUUGUGGGUUUUAAAAUAAUAUUCUCAUUUUUUAGAUUGACGUCUUCCCAGUAUGGAAUGCAUGGGGUCAUGCAUUAAUUCGGAUGGAGCGUUAUGGACAUGCUCGUGUGAAGUUUAAGUAUGUUAACUUUUAUUUUUGGCAACAAUACUUUAACUCGGUCAUUUUAAAAGCUUUGAAGUUUGAUUUUUUUUUUAAUGACAAGGCAUAAACACAGACUUAAGAUCAGUUAAAUAUUGUAUAUGUAUUUCAUUUCAGGCAAGCUCUUCAGUUGUACAAGGGUGAUCCUGGACCUGUGGUUUUGGAGAUUAUUAAUACAAUUGAAGGUGGCCCACCGGUUGAUGUUUCAGCUGUUCGUUCUAUGUAAGAUGUUAUGCACUUGUGAUAGUUGCCAUGCCAUAGGCUAUAAGCUCAACAGAUUCUGUUAAAGAGUUAAUAGCAUCUGUAAUAUUUGAAUAUUUAGUAUUUACAUUAUUCUUCCUAUGUGUGUGCAUCUCUCUCUAUAUAUAUAGCUGACCAGGUUAGAUAUCUGAUCAGAAGAUAAUCUGAUGUAAUAUCGCAUGCUUUCUUGUACACUACUAGAAACCUAAAUAUAUUUAUGGUUUGAAUUCUGACUAGUCAAGCUGGUUAAUUUUUUUAUAAGUACUGCUUGCAAUUUUUUCUGGAAUACUGAGCUAAGGAAGUAAACCAAGGGGGAAAAAUAGGGAAUGAAGUAAUCUUUAGUGUUGGUCAUUGCACAGAAACAACAUCUAAAUAUAUUUCUGCUUCAGGUAUGAGCAUUUGGCUAAAAGUGCUCCCACAAUCCUGGAUGAUUCUCUUUCUGCUGAUUCAUAUCUUAAUAUCUUAUACAUGCCAUCAACGUUCCCCCGUUCAGAAAGGUCUAGACGAUCUCAAGUAUCUGCAAAUAAUAAUUCUACAUAUAAUCGAGACUUUGAAGAUGGCCCUCGGAGUAACCUGGAUACUGUUAGAUACACUGAAUGUGUUAAUUACUUGCAAGAUGUAAGCACAACUCUCCCUUAUCUGCAAAUUAUCGUCUCGCAAAAGCUUUAUCAAAUUAUAUAGCUAUGCAUGAGUUUGAAGAAUGUAUAUCAUUCAUUUUUGUGCAUUUAUAUCAAGUCUGUGUUUUCUGCUUUAUGUUAUUUCUUAACCAAAAUGAAAAGUUUUAACUCCAUUUUAGGUAAUUGUUAUAUAAUUUGAAGUUUUUUGUAUGUAUCUUUUGAAGUAUAUCUAAAUUCUAAAAGGCAUCUUUUAUUUUCCAAUUUGCUUCCUAAUUUUUGUUUCAAAUUUUACAGUAUGCCCGUCAGCAUUUGCUCCGUUUUAUGUUUAGGCACGGUCACUACCAUGAUGCUUGCUACUUGUUUUUCCCUUCUGAUGCUAUCCCACCACCGCCACAGCCAUCGAUCAUGACUGGAGUGUCUUCUUCAUCACCCCAAAGACUAGAUUCUUUGGCCACUGAUUAUGGGACAAUCGAUGAUCUAUGUGAGUUGUGCAUUGGUUAUGGCGCUAUGCCUAUUUUGGAGGAAGUCAUUUCAACUAGAAUGUCACCAACUACAUCCCAGGAUGCAGCGGGGAAUCAAUAUACCAUUACAGCCCUUGCUCGUAUUUGCCUCUAUUGUGAAACUCACAAGCAUUUCAAUUAUUUAUACGGCUUUCAGGUAGCUUUUUUUACUUAAUUAUAUAUUAACAGGUUGUGGGUAAUUAUAAAACUGAAAUCAGGGGUGAAUGUUAGGGGUAAACUUUUGUUGGAGUACAAUCAUAAAUUUAGAGUUUCAUAUUGUUGAAGUUGUGGGAUUUUAGAGAAAAAGAUGAGAGAAGAUAAUAAGGGUUUGAAUAUUGAUAAUAGCUUUAUGCUAACUUGAUUACAAAAAACUCAAUACUAAUCUCUAUUUAUAGAGAAACAUAGACUCAAUCCUAAAUCAAGAACAAAUCAUAAUAAUAAUUAGAGAUAUUAUAAGAUAUUUUUGUGAUUAUAAAUUGAUCAUAGGAAAUAACUCAAGAUACUUUAAUAUAAUAUAAUAGAUAUUAUAAGAUAUUUCAUAAUAUUCUAACACUCCCAUCAAGCUAAAGCUUAUUAAGCUUUAGGUUGUUACAAGAAAACAAUGUUUUGCUCUGCAAAAUAAUAAAAGUGGAUGGAAAGGUAACUUAGAGAUGCAGGUGAAGUUAGAGAGAUUUGCUAUAAAUAUAGCCUAACCAGAUAGUUGGAUUGAUCAUCAGUAUGAGAGAAAUUCAUGACAAACAAUUCAACAAAGCAAGCUCCGUUCUUCUAAAAACUUCAUUUGGAAGUUUCAAACUAAUAAUACUGGAGACUUAAAAUAUUUAAACUUGAUUUUGCUUCAAGGAGAGAGAGAGAGAGAGGCAUGCUUCAGGGAGAGAAAGGCAAGGCCAAUACAUCUGGGACAAAGAUGAGGCCAGUGUAUGUAGGACAAAUUGUCAAGUUGUAUGCAUGUGGCUCGAAAAAAGAAAUUUAAAACAAAUCUGGAACUAGGAAGGAAAACCCAAUCUAGACGACUGAAAUACUGUCGGAAGAUAGACAAACACACUUGAGCUUGAGGCUAUUGGCAGCGGCGCGUAGGAUGAACACGAAGGCACAUAAGCGUGAGUGGAGCAACUUUUGGCCUAAAAAUAUGGGUUGUGUAGAUUGAGAGAUUCCACACACAAUAGAAGUGGUUGUGACAGAAAACUUACAAAAAACCUUUUGCAGCAGCGACAGCAAGCAGCGGCAAACGGCGGAUCUGGGAGGUAGUAGGUGUAAUCGUAGUUCGAAACUAGAAUACUAGGGCAGAUUCAGAACCAAGAGGCCGUGGGCGAGUUCAAUGAAAAAGGUCGCGUAUUAAACGGUUGUUGGACGCGCCGUCACGUACGGUGGCUUUCGGCGACGCGCUUUAAGGUGUGGGUCAAUCUGGAAGAGGUGAAGCUGAUGGAGCUGUGACAGACUGUGUCACGACAGUGGUUUGAAAAGGGAAUGAAAACGUUGGGAAAAAAAAAACUAUGAUUAUAUUCCCAAACUGUUGGGAACUCGACAUCGGAAUAGAGGCAGCAGGCAAGAUCAUUCAAAGAGAAUCGAAAUAGGCUCUAGAUUCCAUGUUGACGUUGUGGGAUUUUAGAGAAAAGAAAGAGAGAAGAUAAUAAGGAUUUGAAUAUUAUUGAUAAUAGCUUAAUGUUUACUUGAUUAAAAAAGACUCUACUAAUAUCUAUUUAUAGAGAAACAUAAACUCAAUCCUAAAUUAGGAACAAAUCAUAAUAAUAGAGAUAUUUUAAAAUAUCUCUAUGAUUAUAAAUUGAUCAUUGUAAAUAAUUCAAGAUACUCUAAUAUAAUAUAAUAGAUAUUAUAAGAUAUUUUCUAAUAUUUUAACACAUACUUUGUGGGAUUUAGGGUAAGUUGUUUCCUCUAAUGAAGAUAAGUUGUUUCCUCCUUGUAUACACAGCCUCAUCCUUAAUGAGUAAAGAGGUUGUUUCCUCAUCCUUUUAGACCCUCGGAAAAAAAAAACUAUAUAAUUCGAUAUUCUCUAAAAGUCUCAUUCUAGAUAUUAGCAGCUUCUGUCAAAAUGCGAGAAUAAAUUAACAGAAAUCGAUAAACUCUAUUAAGCUUAAUUCCUGUAUUCGAAGGAGGUGCUUCUCUUUGCCUUUAAUAUGCACCAGGUCGUUACUAUUUAUCAUAAUGGAGUUAGAGUAUCAUUUACUAAAUAUACAAUAUAUAUUUCUACUUUUGACUUUUGAGCAGACUUUAAAUUUUUAAAUUGAUUUAGUAAAAUGGAGAAACCUCAACCGAGAAUGGGAAUCUUAGAGAAAGGGUGGUUGCUAAACAAAGAGAGUUCAAUUUAGCCACUUAUUCCACCUGUCUUAAUCCAUAUUACCUGGAAUUUAUUCUAGGAACUGUGUUUACGAUCAUUAUCUACCAUGGAGAUUCUGCAUCAACGUGUGAUGUUGUCCAACAAGUGGUGGACAAUCUUCACCUUACCUAGUUUGUGGGUUAAAUUUGAAGAUGGUAUCAGUUUGUUGUCGGUGCUAGAUGACUCAUUUCUAUUCUUUGUUCCAUUCGGGACACCUCGAGCUUGUGGGUCCCACAUUUGAAAUGUGUUUUUGGCAUUUUCAUGGUGUCACCACCGCUGCGUCCUAGCCCUUGUUCAAUUCUUCUUGCUGGUUGUCUCGUUCCAAUGGGAUUGAGUUAUAAUCUUAAAGCCCAAAUUCAGAGAUAGUAUUAGAACCUAUUCUAGGUAUAUAUUAUUGGGCCACCCACAAAUGUUAAGUCAUGCACAUUUCAUGCUUUUAAUGUCCAGUCCAAUCAUGUGGUGUGAAGCUAUGAGGGGUGAUCUGCUGUCGUACACAAGUCAAAUACAAGUAAUAAAAUGUAGAUAGAAGAGGUAAUAACUCAAGUCGUUUCGCAAGGACUUCUGAUAUAAUAAUAUUAACCAAAUUGAAAGUUGAAAUUAGA